rnacentral:rRNA from 1 species
AACGAACGCUGGCGGCAGGCCUAACACAUGCAAGUCGAGCGAGACCUUCGGGUCUAGCGGCGGACGGGUGAGUAACGCGUGGGAACGUGCCCUUUUCUACGGAAUAGCCUCGGGAAACUGAGCGUAAUACCGUAUACGCCCUUUGGGGGAAAGAUUUAUCGGAGAAGGAUCGGCCCGCGUUGGAUUAGGUAGUUGGUGGGGUAAUGGCCUACCAAGCCUACGAUCCAUAGCUGGUUUGAGAGGAUGAUCAGCCACACUGGGACUGAGACACGGCCCAGACUCCUACGGGAGGCAGCAGUGGGGAAUCUUAGACAAUGGGGGCAACCCUGAUCGAGCCAUGCCGCGUGAGUGAUGAAGGCCUUAGGGUUGUAAAGCUCUUUCAGCUGGGAAGAUAAUGACGGUACCAGCAGAAGAAGCCCCAGCUAACUCCGUG